rnacentral:lncRNA from 1 species
UUUUUUUUUUUGAUGAUUCUGACAUUCCAGUUGUGUAUUUAAAAGGAAGUACUGAAGGGGUUAAUGCAAAAUUUUUCUGUUCCUCAAGUAUUCAGAGAGUUAAAGCUGUGUGAAUUUGGUUCCUGGAAUUCUCUAGAGGGAAAUAAGAGGGAAAUGUAAGAAAUGCAUGAGAUGCAGAAAUGUUUUCAAUUAUGUUGCUGGAAGUAAUACGAUCUCGGGAUCUAAAGGAUGGAGGGUAAGUCUCAAUACAUGCUACCACUGUCAUUAUAUCUUCAAGACGUGAAAACAUCGCUGUGGUCCAUCUCUAUUUACUGCAAGCAGAAGGGUCAAGACAGAAAACAUAGAGGCUUUUAGUAGGAGAGGGCAGACAUGCUUUAUCAUAUCAUUGAGCUACAAUUCUGGCCUACAGCAGAGAUACAGCCUGGUAUCCAUUAAGAGCAAGGCCUCUGGACCCAGGCUUCCUGGGCUUGCCUCCUGAUCCCAUCUUUUACUAAUUGUAUCGCCACAGAAAGAAAGGCUCCAGAUUUAUGUUUCCUGGUAUUGCUGCUAUUGGUAUUACUGUCCAUUAUUACUAUCAUCAUCAUCAUCACUAUUAUUAUUAUUAUUUUGCAAUUAAACUACAUUGGUGAAUCUUUAAUGUCCAUCUGUGAGUAUUCUUUUUAAAAAUUCUUCUCUCAUAUAUUACAUCCUGAUCACAGUUUCCCCUCCUUCCUCUCUUCACAGUCCCUCGUUCACCCCCCUUCUCCCCCAGAUCCACUCUUCCUCCAUUUCUCUUCGAGAAGGGCAGGCCUCCCAAGGAUAUCAAUCAAACAUGGCAUAUCAUUUUGCAAUAAGAUUAGGGACAUUCCCUCAUAUCAAGACUGGAUAAGGCAACCCAGUAGGAGAAAAACGGUUUCUCCUUCAAAAGCAGGUGAAAGAGUCAGAGUUAGCCCCAGUUCUUACUGUUAGGAGUCCCAAAAGAACACCAAUUUAUACAACCGUAACAUAUAUUCAGAGGACCUAGGAGGAUCUAGGUCAGACCCAUACAGGCUCCCUGGUUGUCACUUUAGCCUCUGUGAGCUUCUAUGAUCUCUGGUUAGUUAAUUCUGUGGGUUUUCUUGUGGUCUUCUUGACCCCUCUGACUCCUAUAAAUCUUCCUCCCUCUUUUAUAGAGGAUUCCCUGAGCUGCACCUAAUGUUUGGCUGUGGGUCUCUGCAUCUGUUUCCAUCAUCCUCUCUGAAUAUGAUGCUAGGAUCCUAUUUACAAGUAUAGCAGAGUAUCAUUAGGAAUCAUUUCAUUGAUAUUUUGCGGUCAUGUUUGAUUUUAUCCUAGGUCUGUAUCCUAGGGUAUCCUAGGAUACCCAGUCUCUGGUACCUGGACCUAUAAGCAAUGUCAGGCAUGGGUUCCCUUUUGUGGCCCGUGUCUCAGUUUAGACCAGUCAUUGGUUGGCCACUCCUACAAUUUCUGUGUCACCAAUUUUACCCCAGCACAUCUUGCAGACAGAAAAAAAUGUAGGUUGUAAUUUUUGUGGCUGUGUUGUCCCUAUCCCUCCACUUGCCUGGUUACAGGUGAUGGCUGGUUCAGGCUCCAUAUCCUGAUUGCUAGGAAUCUUUGGAUCACCCUUUUAGAUUUUUAGGUGUUUCCAAUGUUCCAGGUUUCUACCUCCCUUUCCCAGGGAGAUUCAUGUGUC